rnacentral:rRNA from 1 species
CAGCCGCCACGGGAAUACGUAGGUGGCAAGCGUUGUCCGGAAUUAUUGGGCGUAAAGGGCUCGCAGGCGGUUUCUUAAGUCUGAUGUGAAAGCCCCCGGCUCAACCGGGGAGGGUCAUUGGAAACUGGGAAACUUGAGUGCAGAAGAGGAGAGUGGAAUUCCACGUGUAGCGGUGAAAUGCGUAGAGAUGUGGAGGAACACUAGUGGCGAAGGCGACUCUCUGGUCUGUAACUGACGCUGAGGAGCGAAAGCGUGGGGAGCGAACAGGAUUAGAUACCCCGGUAGUCCCUGUCUCUUAUAC